rnacentral:rRNA from 1 species
ACGUGACUAACCUACCCUGGAGUGGGGAAUAACUGAGGGAAACCUUAGCUAAUGCCGCAUAACACCUACGGGUCAAAGGAGCAAUUCGCUCUGGGAGGGGGUCGCGGCCGAUUAGUUAGUUGGCGGGGUAACGGCCCACCAAGACGAUGAUCGGUAUCCGGCCUGAGAGGGCGCACGGACACACUGGAACUGAAACACGGUCCAGACUCCUACGGGAGGCAGCAGUGGGGAAUUUUGCGCAAUGGGGGAAACCCUGACGCAGCAACGCCGCGUGGAGGAUGAAGUCCUUCGGGACGUAAA